ensembl:lncRNA
GCGCUGACAGCCCCCUCUCCCUCUCAGCAUUUCCUCUCUCUCCUCUCUCUCUGCCUCGUUCUCUCUUUCUCUCCCUCCCUCUCUCUCUCUCUUUUUGUCUCUCUUUAUGUCUAUGGCAUUGUGUCUGAAUAAUUUUCAGGCCUUUUUUUUUCCUUCCUUCUCAUAUGCACACGCUAAAAGAACUAGACAAAGAUACAAGGUGUUUGCUGCAGUCCACAUCUCUAGGAGGAAAAAAAAAAAAAAAAAAAGCUCUUGAUUACAGUGCCACUUUUUUUUUUUCUUUUUCUUUUUCUUUUUUUUUUUUUUUCCACCUAUGCUCAGUGAUUAAACUUCCCCAGGAUGGGGAAGAAAUAAGAGGUGGAAUUGAAAUAGGGAUGAGGAAAAUACCAUUGCAGCAGCUGCAGUCAGUGGUGUCUGCUGCCAGAUGUGUGAAGGUUCCCGGGGUCCUGGACACUAAAAGGAUGCAUAAAAAUAUUUGGAGACAAAAGCUGCAUCCUCAGUGAUCAUUUUCUGUAUUUAACAUGGCAGCAGGCACCGUGUGGAGAAAUCAACAUGCUGGAUGUUGAACUGGACUUUCCUCCUUUCUAGGAUGAAAGGAUGUGAUCUAUCCCGUGCCAAAAGGGAGCUGAGGGGGAGGGGAAGAAAGUCUCCAAAACUAACCCGUCGCGCUGCAAAAAGGAAGCAUUUGGCAGGAGAAGGGAGAUUGUUUCAAAACAGUUGGAUGAAAUGCUCCUAUGGUGCUGGAGUUUCACUCUGCCAUGAUCAAUGAAUAAUUAUUGCUUUCUGAUGUCAGUGGGAUCUGAUGAGAGUAAGAUGGUUAGAGUGCAAGCAGACAGCAAAAACAGCUGUGACAAAAACUUGCUGGUCUCCUCCUGCUGUCCAGCCUACAAGAUGUGAUCAACUCCUGGCAUAAGAGAAAGAAAUUUUGAAAGGAAGAGACGAUGGCAUCAACAAUGUGCCCCUGUGUCUGAAAGACAUAAUUACUUGGUGGAGGAACAGGCUGCUCAUCUCCUCCUGGGCAGGAUGAGAAUGGUGCCGAUAAAUAAACAGAGAGGAGGCUUUCUGCUACUGUAGGCUGUGCUGGAGGCUUCACCUUUUCCUGUCAGAUGUGGACUUUGCUACAGCAUUUCAAGGUUUGUUUAUCCCUGUGCUGGAUUGCUUCAGACUGUUCUGCUUGGGCUUGUCAGCUGAAAAGCAGAGAAACAUCACAUGUUAAAUCUUGAUGAAAUUUCUAAGCAACAUAAAGAAGAGUGCGGCCUAUUAUUUAGAUAUGGCAACAUACAGCACUGAAAUAUCUCCAAGGACAAGGUCAUUGUCUCCAGAUCUCCUAAUGGGGAGAUUUCUUGAGGACGGAGUUAUAGGGAAGCCCUAUAUGACAAAGAUCAGGACCGUACUUUUAAGCAAUAAGGGGGUCUUUUUAGUGAAGGCUCUCUGGCCUGAAAAUAGGGAUGGGAUGUGCAUUAGCACCCGAUGGGACCACUCUACAUAAUGUUUCCUCCAGAACAAUGGCAUUUUCUUCCUUCCAUUAUAUUCCUCUGCAACCUACAUACUUUUCAAAAAUAUAUUUUUUUACACUUAUAUAUGCUUAGGCUUCAGUAUGAGACCUGAUACAUGUUGGAUUAUGAUGUAAAUUCUUAUGUAUGUCUUUUCAUGAUGCUUCAAUAAAGCCAUCAAAAUUGAAAAUCAAAGAGAAACAAAAACAAAGGGGUAAGAACAUAUGGAGUGGGAUAAACCAAUUAUCAUCUUCAUUAUGAGUGUUGUUUGCUAAAAACUUCAGCUUUGAUUUAGCUUUAUGCGGUAACUCCAGUGGAAAUUUGUUUUACAGAAAUACAAAAAAAAUUCUGAAACUCUUACUUAGGUUUUGCAAGAAUCACUGACGCUCUGUAGAUUGCAUAGGACUACAGAACAGUGGAUUAGCAUGAAAAGAAGAGGGUUUCUACCUCUGAGAAGGUUUUUCUUCCUGUUCCAAAGUAUAUUCAUCGUGCUGUAUAGCUAAAUAAUAGGUGUGUCCUGUUCUAAGUCACAACACAAUCUUAGGAAUUUUUGCAACUCCUUUUGAGGCAAAGGUGUUUCUUUGUCUGUAAGUGGCAUGGCUACUGUGAUAAAUUGUUAAAUAUAUGCAUUUUUAGUAACAAAUACAUAAAAUAAUUAAAUUUCAAAUAAACAUAUUUGAAAUUUGUUUUGACAUGCAGUAAUUUUUAUUCCACUCUGGAAAGAAUGAGUUUAUAGAUUCAUGUUAUGAUUAAGGGUUAGCAUUAUUUUUGUUGUUUCUACAGUAAAUAAAACUAAACAACAACAAGCUCCACAACUCAGGCCUUACCUUCACAAAACUUUUGACUGUCAGGUUUUCCCUCUUUGUUCCUGCCCUUGUCAGUAUAAUGCAGCCUGGUGACUUUUGUCUCUGCAGCCAGUCUACCUCCCGUGAAGGUGCACACAGGGACACUAAAAAUUGCUAAGACUUUUGUGCUUCUGUUAUUGCCCCCAGACCUGAGAUCAGGUGAGGCUACAGGCAAGUGAGGUAAAGUCAUUAGAAUCUCCUCAAAAUUGGUUGUUAAUGAGCCAUCUGAUGAAGCAGAAGGAAAUGUUUUUGCUGCUUGUACUGACAACAAAUAAAGGGCAAGGGAAAAGAUUUGGAUGUAAAAAUAUCCCCCUUUGCAGGAGCAGCAUGAAUCAGCUGCAGUCUGUUUUGCAGUCACAUGCACAUUCUGAUAUAGGGUUUGGCAGCACAGGCGGGAAUUUUGCAGAAGGAUAUUUGUAUGUUUAUGUUGUAAAAUAAUACUAAACCUGCUUGGUUUGGGCUACAAAUUUCACAUUGUGAACUAGUUAAGUUCUGGGUUUUUGUCAGUAGAGAAUUGUGAGGCUAAAGUAAGCUUGAGUUCCUCAUUAGGUCAUUUCUGCACAUUUCUGGAUCCCACUUUCUUCUCUCCAGUCCCAUUAUUACUCAAGGUUUAUUUUCCUUUGGACUAAUAAUGCCAUCUUGUACACAUAAUCUUUUCCCUUCUCUGCUUCCUCCCCACUCUCCAUUUCUUCACUUCUUCAUUCACAUAUUCCCUUUGCUGUUUUAAUUCGUAUCAUUGUCCUUUCCCAGCGUUUUUUCAUUUGUUCAUCCCCCAUUCAGGUUUCAAUUGGGCAAAUAAUAUUCUCCUCUUGGAGAAAUGGAUCUUCACUACGGUGAAGUUCCACUGUGAAUAUUCACAAGCUGGAAAUAAAACAUGGUUAUGUGUCAGUGACUGGUUCUCUAGGAAGACGAUCUUUAAAUUAAGAGGCUUUCAUUAAUGUCCUUUGUAAUGUAAAAUGAUUUGGCUUCAAAUUACUCAGUAUCUGAAUAUGAGUUAGACAAAAUACUUGUCAGGAUUUCAGUGGAUUAUGAAGCCUUACCUUAUAUAUCUUAAUUGUUUGAAUUUUCAUUGGAUUUGUAUGGACUGCCAAGCUUUAUAAUUUGUGUGUAUCUAUUUCAGUAUGAAAUCCUUGACUGCCUUAACUUAUUUUACUGCCCUUCUUGAUGCUAUAUCAAUGUUAAGCAUCAUGACACUAGUUGAGUGCAUUGCAUGAUCCUUAUUUCAACUUCAUUUUAACAUGUUUUUGGAAGCUUUAAAGAGGCAGAUAAUGUUCCAAAUUCCAAUUAGAAGCAAACAACAGAUUAGCAGAGUCUUUUGUCAAAUAGGAAAGCAGAAUUCUUUACCAGCAAGAGAGAGAUAUAACGUACACACUGGAGUGUAGAUGGUUUGAAGAAGUGGCUGCCUGUAAGCAUUAACAGACAACAAACAGUACAGAAACAUCGUUUCUUAUAAACUGUCAGAGCCUAGCCCUUUUACAAACUGUAAUCUUGACCCCAAGUCUUGCAUAGUAAUGAAAUAAUGACUAUACCUAGAUAUUAAAAAAAAUAAUGAAAAAACAAUUUGUAAAUUUUAUAUUGCCCAAUUCCACCUAGCAGCGAAUAGGAAAUAAAACAACAUUUUAAGAUAAGUAUAUUAAAGUCCAUUGCAUUUGAAAAGACAUGGAUUGUCAUUCCUGCUAUCUUAGGCUGCCUCAGCCUCUCUCCUAUGGGUACAUAUUAUGUUUGUUUUCAGAAUUGCUGAAGACAGAAAUACAGUCUGUGAGUUUGAGUGAACUUUCUUCACCUAAUUUCAAAUCUGCUUGAACUUAGUGACUUCAUAUAUUUGAUUUAAGCUUUCUGAGUUUGCAUUCAAUAAGGGAGAAGAAAGUGAAGGGAGAAGAGACAGAAAAUCCAAUGCAGAAAUAAUGUAAGGAAAAAAAAUGAGUUUGAUAUGCAUGCCACAUGUGAAUUACUUGUUUCUCUUUUAGUACCAUCUGUAUUGUGUAGCACAGAAGUUCUCCUUGCCCCUUCCAAAAAAUCAAGUUGGUGUUUUUGUUUUUAAUUUAAUCAUGCAUAAAGAAGAAUGGAGAGGUUAGAAAUAAUUUGUAAUAAAAUGUUCCUUAAAUUUGAGAUGUAAUAAAUGUCUACGAGACAGAGAAGACAACUCAAUGAAUACAGAUAUCCUGACAAUAUCUGAGACAUUAAGAACAUUCAGAGAGUGUUUUCAUUUCAUCUGAUGCAGCCUUAGAGGAUAGACAGCUAUUACCAUUUAUUUGUGUCCAGCUUUGCAACAUAUUACUCCAAAAGCAAAUCAUGCUGUGAUGGAAGAUGUGAAAUUGAAUGAUCUAUGUUGCUCUCCUAUUGUCUGCCGGAAACUCUGUCCACCCCUGAUUUUAAUCACGUCCGCUUAGUGGUCAAGCUUAUUCACCUUGCUGGCCAGAUAAUCUGGUUCAGUGUUCACCGUUGUUCUUGCAGACUGGAAGUAAAAUCUUUUAUCUGUUUUCCCAGGCUCAAUGUUUCUUGCUGGGAGUCUUUGGUAGAAGCAGUAAAACUUACUGUAAAUAUCCUAGAAGUUAGUAACAUGCCUUCCUACAGGCACAUCUUCAUGAUUUUUCCAGUCUUUGUGAACUUAAAUAAAAUCUUUUGAGAUUUCUGUUCCUCUGUUUAUUUAUUUAUUUAUUUUAUACUUGUGGUAUAAAUAUCUUCACUGCUUCAAAUCUGAACUGUGAAUUGUCAACACAAUUCCAAAACAAGAGCUAAAUUUCAUUAUUUUCAUUUUCAUUUGUAUAAAUGAGAAUAUAAUUAAAUCCCACUAUCAACAUUAUGCCUGCCUGCGUACACAGGUAUUCUUUUGUAGUACACCCACCUGACCUUGCUUAUUACAUUCUAGGGAUAUGUUAGAACACCCUGAAAUACAGUGCAUGUGGACUUAGCAAAUGCCAUGCUCCCUAUAUCUAACAGCACUUCCUGGAGGUUGAAGAGUGGUGAUUUUCUGUCUAUGAUCUAUAGAUAUCAGUACUUCACUUCUGAGGUGUCUGCAGUAGGUAACUUGAAAGAAGUUUAUAUGUAGUUUAUACUGUAGUUUAUGUGAAAUUUGGCAUUUAUAGGUCAAAACCAGUAAAGCCACUAGCAUACAACUGUAUAAUGGCUUAUGCAUUUCUUUGUCGCUUACUGGUAAUUUAAGACACUUUAAUUGUCUACAGCCUUUGUAGUUACCAUGAAAAUGUGUUGCAUUUUGGGCUGUUAUUGAGCCAGGAACCUGAUGAAAUGCCGAUCGUAAACUUCUUUCCCUCUCCCUGUUAUUGCACUAAAUGCAUCUGGUCAAAUGAAAUCAAAUGAUUUGACAACAGGUCAGUUUAUAACACAGCUUUUAAAAUUAUUUUUAUGUAAUAUAUAUAAAACUACGAAUGCAACUUUAUUAUAUUAACAAAGGCAUUGCAAGCAUGAUUAUGCGUGCAAUUGAGAAAUUGUCACAGAAUUAGAAGCUGGGGGAUCCCAUUGCAGGUCAUAGUUGGGUGAGUCUACGCACAUUAUUAUUAUUAUUGUGCCAUGUAGACUAACUAAAUCUGGUUGUCACUAGCUAAUUCAUUGCAUUUAAUUGUAGAGGUGUUAUGAUUUUUCUGACAGUGGUUAUCGUGCAAGUCAGCACUGAACGUCCUCCCAGCUCUUUGUUUCUCCUUACCAUGUAUUGCAUCUCUUCCUGCAAGUUCUCAUCUUCUGUAGGUGUCAUCUUCCCUUUCUCCAUACAGAUGUCCCAGUUGCACUGAUCGUGUAUUCCCUUCCCAGGAUCUCCUCUGCUUUCACCAACACUGCAUGAGGAGGACCAAGGCAAGAACUGCAAAACACCUCUCUGUCCACCUUACACAAUCCGUGAUCAAAGAAUCUUGCCACUGCUGUAUCCUUGGAAUAUCUUUUGAAGAAAGAUGAGAUAAGCAAUGAGUUAAGGCUAAUUCUUCUAGCUUAAACUCAGGGAUAAACACUGACUUUGGUUGUAAUCCAUGAAAUGGAGGGAUUUUCUCAUACUUUUUGCAGAGGUUUAACUGGUGUAAGGUAACAUAUAUUUUCCAAAAAUAAAAAUGUAGCUGAGAUUCCAUUUCUCCUCUGAUGGGAACCAGCCAGCCUAGUGGACAACAGGCACUGCAGCUCAGCUAUCACUACUCUAGCUGCCACAUUUUCUGAACUGACUCCAGAAAGAUCUUUCUUUUUUCUUGACUCAGUUCCAUAACUAAAAAAUGAAUAACAAAUUGUCUUUCUGUCCUUCUUUUCUGUAACAAUUCAAAGGAGUCUGGAAGGCAGUGAGGACUGCCCACUGCACUGCAUCCAAAGCAGUGAACCCUGAGAAAGAAGGUAACAAUGAAGUAUACAUUUUAAAGAAUCACAGAACUCAGAAGUUUUUUUCCUAAAUUAUUCUUUAAUAUGUCAUUUUGAAUUUGCAUUAGCAUAGACUGAGAAACUUGAAUGGACUGAUGUACUGAAUAUUGAUUUAAUUCUAUGAAUUCAUAUUGAGAAAAAUAUAGUAGUAAAAAUUGAUAAAAAUACACAUUUACUAAUACAUGUAUUUCUAUAAAUAAUGGAAAGCCUCCUCAUAAUAUUUUACAUUGAGAACUAAAAAGGAUCCUUUGUGGAAUAUGUGGUUUUUUUCUGUCUUACAUCAAGCAAUUAUUAUUAUUAUUAUUAUUAUUGUAUGCAUUUACUUUAUUUAUUGAUUUUUCUAUUGUUUAUGAUGUUGAUAGUGCUGUAUUAUGACUUUCAAAGGUGAUUUUCUGACAAUGGAAGUACACGAUCAAGUGUAAUUCAAACCUUAGGUACAUAUUACCUCAGUUACUUUAAGGAUUUAAGUGCAAUGGCAGCGAGAAAGGAGAAAGGUCCCAACUCUGCUGCAGACAGCUUUUGUGACCUUGGUCAAACUGCUUAAACUCUCUGAGUGAAAUCCUACCACCACGAAAGUCAAGAGGAUUUUUGCCAUUUAUUUGAAUGGGGAAAGGACAUAUUUGAAUUCUGAAUUGUUAAUAAGAACAGGAUAACAUGUAUCUAACUCUCACAGCUCUUGUGAAGCUAAUUAAUCAGUAGAGUACUUUGGGAUCCUCAGAAGUAUAAUAGAAACUGCAAGUACUAUUAUUUAUUUGUCAUGUAAUUGGAAGCUAGCAGGGUAAAAAGUCAUUGAUAAAAAUCCAUAUCACAAGGUCAUUUCUUUCAAUGUUGCAAAUCUCUUCUUCAAUCAAGAGCUUUGUAACUGAUGAAAAGUACAGCCUAAUCAUAACAUUAUCAAGUCAAUUUAAUUGGUGCACAUGAGAUCAUAAUGAAGUCAUUUUUGCUAGUUACAGGCUUAAAAAUAUUUUUAUAGCACCCUUCAUCCUAGUGGAAACUUUAAAGACCUCACAGACAGGAUUAAGCUUCUCUGCCUGUGUUAUACAUCUGCCUUUGUGUGGCAGACACCGUCUGGUUUUAUAGUGUUUAAAAAUUUUACUGGUAAGUAUGAUAUUAUGGUGUUUAUACCUAUUAUCUAUUAAGUCAUUUACACUUUUAAUAUUAGUGUUCAUAUAUGCCAAAGUGCAGAGGCUGCACUUGUGGAUUAAAGGGGGUUCUGAAGUAGUAGAUUUUUCUUGUUUUUAAGUUAAAACACCAAUAAUUGUCACUAUUGCUCAAUCAGUUUUUAAGCACACUCUUUGUCUGUGGAAAUACCUUUCCUGCUGGCUGACAUGUCUGCAUGUUUUUGCACAAUGUUCUGUUUCAUUUUGGCAGAAACUUGAAGCCCAAAAACUAAAAUUGGUUUGGAAGUGAAGGUUUGGAGCAGCAAGGCUCCUACCAGCAAGCCCUAUUAUGUUGAUGAGAUUGCUUAAUUUACCUUGAUGUAAGCUUCCCUAUUGCAGCACAUGGAAGCAGUGCUAUAUAUAUAUAUUUUUAUUUUUCCACUCAUAGCCAAUGUGCGUGCAGAACUGGUGUGUCAGUGUCAGGGUCCUCUUGCCUCUUGCACUCUUGCACAUGCAUGGCUCUCCUCUUCAAGUAGUGCUCUCUGUGGCUGCAAAUCCUCAUGGACUACAGCUACAUUAUUACUCACACUGAAGUUCAUUGUACCACACUGACAAUGUUAAAGGGACACGAAAGGGAAUGCUAAAGGUAUCCUUCCAUCUACAGUAGUUGAAGGAUCCUGCCAUGUAAGAUCUGCCAAGCACUGGGUAUAAUGCUUUUUUCCAUUCGUCUGUUCUCCAGGCACCAGUUGGUGGCAUUGCUGUAAAAGUCCUGUGCAUCCAUUGGAAUUUAGUUUAGCCCAACCAAUGCCUCAGGUUUACCGUGAAUACAAAUAAAAUCAGGAUUCCCAGUUUCUCUCUCCAAGAAAAACAUCUGGGCUCUUAGGAAAAAGAGAACACAUCACCCUUCAGGCUGGCAGAGGUUUUGCUUUACAUGUUCCUGGAUAACUUGAGAAAGGAUGAGGAAGGAAUUAAUGCCUGUAGAAAACACUGUAAAUACAUUUACAUCCAGCUGUAAGAUAUACCCCUAAAAGUCAGUGGUGCUUCUAACUUGUACAUUUCAAUAUUGAUUCUUUGAAUAUUGGGUAUUACCAAGAAAAUAUCAGGGCCAGCAGGUAUGUAUUUUUGCCAGAAGGCAGGGUAAGUGACUUGCCUGUGUCUGCCAGAGGUCAUGCUUCCAACGCUCCUGAAGGCAGCAGCUGCCAAGCUGGGUGCCCAGAAGAGCUGCAUGCCCUUCAGACAAACCUUUCCGUGCCCCUCGUUCCUUGCAACGAUAACAUGAACCUAAUUUUCGUCCAGAGCUUAUCACAGAUAGACCUCAUUGUGCCACAAUACAUAUAAACGGUAGUAUAAUCUGGUGUCUUCUGAAGUUUAAGUUUUAUAUUAGCAACCUCCUAGCUUCAGAUUUCAACAUACACAUAUUACAGUUCUUCACUGUGGGAGUUAAGAGGUGGUGUGCUGUGCUUGCAAGGAUAUUUAGGAAUGAACCAGAAGCCAAUUAUGCACAGAAGAAAAAAGACGUAUAUAGGCAAUCUUAUUUGUGGAUUAAAAAAAAAAGCAUUGUGAUUUCCCCACAUUUCUGGUUUUUCAGACGUAUUUAUUCUCAAUAUUCUCAAUCAAAAAUGCUCAAAAAUUGCGUUCAGUUUUCAUUGGUAGGUACCUCCUAUUUUUGUGAACUCAAAAUAGAUGGAUGGGUAAGAAACAUAGUUACAAGUAUUGAUGCUAAAUUGUUUGUUUGAAUACUUGCACCACUAAACAGAUUUCCUGAAGUUGCUUCAGGUCUUGAACAGCAAAAUGGUUGGAGGAUGAUUUAAGUGGCCUGACUUACUUACAAAUUUGAGGAAAUAGCACAGAACUAUUUUAACAGUACUCACUUCAUGCUAGUCAGUAGCCACUUGCAGAACUUUAUACAGGAUGACAAUGUUAGCCAACAGCCAAGACAAUAGUCUGUGAAAAACCCUUUUUACUUCAGACAAAGAGAGGGAAAAAGCAUUGUGUAGGGGAGUGAAAUUUCAGGGCAGCAGCUCCACUGAGGGCUUGUUAAAUCUUUCAUUUGGGCCAUUCACCUGCUGCUUAUAAGCAAUGAAAAUGGUAGACAGCAGAUGUGAAGGCUAGGAGGGGCUAUAAUGACAUGAAAAACAAGUUGUGUGACUAUACAUAAUCGAAAGAAGACGGAUUGAGACUUACUCUUUUGUUUUGACAAAAACAAAAAGCACCACAACCCACAUGUGUGUCUUCAUGAUCCCAAAUACUUUAAAAACUUUCCUUCAAAAUGAAUCAGGAAAAAAAUGAAAACAUAUAAAUGAAUAAACAAACAUUUCCAAUUAUUUUUUUUUUAAUAGAUGAAAAUAAAAAGUAAUCUUGAACAUGACAAUUCUUGAUCCCUGUAUAACUCUCAUUAACAUUCACUGAGGCUGGAAUAUGACCUUCCGAUUAUGUGAGGCUUAGAAUUACAUAUAAUUUCCCUACAGUAGAUGAUAGAAAAAAUUGUCCAUUUUGACCACCAGCAUGUAGGUUGGCUUUUUCUACAUUACAUCACCUCUAAAUCAAACACCUUGCUGAUGUUGUCUCCAACAAAAAUGUUUGUGGUUUAGUUUAAAUCAAACAAUAAAAGAGUUUGAGAUCUGGUAAAUUAGGAACAAAGGAAAAAGCUUUGUGCUCCACUGCCUAUAGUGUAACCAUUAUGUUUGUAGUAAUGUGCUGUGAGAAGCCAUUGGCGUGCUAAAAAUACACUACUUUAACAAUAAUCCAUGCAUAAAGGAGCUUGAAAGGAGAUAUGGCAUAUACCUAAUGAAUUCUGGCCCUUUUCCAUGCUUACCAUUUAUGGGAUUUUAAAAUUGCCGACCCUUCUCACUACAUUCAAACAUUUUAACUUUAACAAACAAACAAACACGAAGCACCCAAAUGAAUUCAGCAACGGUAGCGGGAAACUGAAUGUGGUAUGUGUUAAAUAACUGGUUUUGUGGUUUUGGGUGGGUUUUGUUUGUUUGUUUGUUUUGCUUUGGUUUUGUUUUUUUUUUUGUUGUUGUGUGUGGGGUUUUUUUGUUUUUGUUUUUGUUUUUUUUAAGAAAUAUGUCAGAUUUUAUAUAUAUUCAAAACAGAUGCAGGAUUGUAAAUCCAGGGUAGUUGUAAUAUUCUAAGCACAUAUUUAGGGACUUCCUCCCUUUUCCAAAUCUCACUCAAGUGGAACAUACACUCAUUUCUGUAACAAAAAUUCUUUCUACUCUAUUGGCAAAAUGAAUAGCAUCAACUCAAAAUAUUUAAAAAUUUAGUCACAUCCACAUCUCGCAGCCUAUAAGGAGCUUUCACGCUUUUGGGCUCGCUUUAGAUCUUUAAUACCCUUUCCUUUUGUGUCAAGGAGCUCACGAGGCGUAAAGAAGCACUGAUAAACCCACUUAGAUCCCUUCCUGGGCCGUCACCUCUCCCUGCCAAGCGGCUUUAGGUGGUAACUGAUCUGUGACAGGCUGCCAGUCAAACAGAGCAUUUCUGAAAGCUGACACAAAAGACUGAGCGUCGGAGAAAGGGGAGGAAAAUAAGAAAAGAAACCAAACUGUAUCAGCGCCUCUCUCCGCCUCCCCCACCUCCCCGCGCAGUCAGGUUCAUGGCAGGGGCAGCUUAUAGCCGCAGCGAUAGAGAUCAGCGGCCCUGCCAGGCUGGGGACUGCCCCGGCUUACGGCUGAUAAUAGCGGCGAGAGGGAGAGUGACAGUCGGAGGCAGAGCGCGCAGGGCCGCUGUCAGCCCCGCCGCUUCCCGUGGGAGCAGUGCUGGGGCUGCGGCGGAUGCAGGGCCGGGCAGGGCUGCCAAGGCUGCGGGGGAGAGGGGCAUCUUUGUGGAGGACGCUGGUCAGAGACUGUUGCCCUGAUGUCAUCCGUACUGCUCUGCUGCAGAACGAAACCGUGGCCGCGUGAAAAAAAUCGCCUUCCGAAAGUUUCUGCUCCUCGCCUCCCAGACUGUAGUGAAAAGCACUAAGUCACAAGCAGUGUGUGAAGUUUUGGGUUGUUAAUAGGUCUGUAGUCACCUUCAAAGCAGUACAGCUGAGUGCUGCUUGCCUUGUGAGUCAGCUCACACCAUCUGAGUGCAUCAGUUUGGUCACAAAGAUGGCCAGUGGAGUAGAGAGGGCUCCUGGCAUCCUGACCACCCCGCUCCAUGCAAGUUUAAGAGCUCCUGUCUUGGUUGCCUUGCCUUCUGAUCACCCAUUGCACCAGGUACCACAGAGCCAUAGAACCAUAGAAUCAUUACGGUUGGACAAGACCUCUAAGAUAUCUGUUCCGACCAUCCGCUCAUCACCACCAUACAGAGAUCCUGCAGUGGGGUCUUACUUCCAGGUUGCACUUCUGAAGCAAAUUUCCUUCUUCUCCCCUACUGCCACAUUGAUUUGAUUCUUGGGGCAGCCUGCAGAAAUUGCAAGCCCUAAGUGCUGUGUCACGGGGGCAAGAUAGACUGUGGGGAUCUGCCUCUCUAUUCUCUAUUUCCCCCUUUCCCCACCCUUAUCUCAGAGAGGCUUGGUACAUCAGAAUCCCUCCUGCAAGAAAGAGGGACUGGCACAUUCCUGUCCUGUGCUGGAGCAGUAAUCAACCGUCAAGCAGGGAAAAAUAAAAUAAAAAAAGCAAUUCUAAAACUAAAUACCAAAAUCAGCUUUGCAGAGCUGUUGUUGGGGUUGGCUUUUAGUUAUUUAUUUAUUUUUCACCUCAUGGAGAACUCAGCUCUGUGGCCUCUGGGGUGAAAAUGGGUCAUAUUUCUGCAUGUUUUCUGAGGGCACAAUUCCACCAUUAGGCAUUUCAGGAUCUUCCUUACUUUCUCACGUUGCUGGAAUGCAGGGCAGAGGGGCAAAUGGAGGGAGGAAUUAGGUCAUCUAUAGCAGCCUUAUACCAUCAGAGAUUUUCUUUAUACACCAAUGCUAAAUACCAUGCUCAAAAACAUGGAUUUCCUUGAGGCCAUUUUGCUUGAAAGUUAAGGAGUGCCCUUACAAUGACCAUAAGUUUACUAACCAGUUUAUUAUUUGGUUCAGCAACUUCAUUGAGCCAAUCAUGUAUUAUAAAUGAGAAACACACACGUGAACUAGGUUAUGCCAGCAUAUACUAAGAGUGGAUCCAACAAAAUCUGAUUUUUUAAAAUCCAGAGCAAUUUCUCUUAGUCUGUCAUGAAUGGAAAAUUAUUCAGCACUGAGGAGGAAUUCAGUCAUUAGAGAUGCAAAAAGACUCAGUGUGCUAAGCCUUGUCUAUGCUGAUAUCUUCCUACAGUGGGGAACACUCCCACUGGCAUCAGUUUUCCCACGUAGCUCUGUGGUGGGUGAGAGCUGAGUUCAACAGCCUCUGCAGCAAAUGGAGGGGAAUGUAUAGAAAACAUACACCUUCUGUUCACCUUCUGUCCUGGAGCUCUUCUCCCCUGCCAGUCCAAAAAAACUCCCUAUUGUUAUAUGGCAGGUAGAUCUGAUAAAGAUAUGGCAAUAUGAAACAAUUUUCAUUAUUUGUAUCUUCUGGGAUAUUUAUUUACUGAGGGAGACCCCAUCUAAUUAUGAGCAUUAUUUUAGAUUUUUUCUAUCCUUUUUUUUUUUUUAAUUCCCUUCUGUGUCUGAAGAACUACUCCUUUAUUCUCACCCAUUAAAAAAAUCAAAAAAUGAAAAGUAAUGGAAAAAAUAAAAAGUGAAAAGAAAGAAAAUGCAUUAAGCACAAAAGAGAAUAAUACAGGAAAGUAAACAUAUCAAGGUCAUCAAUUUUCCAAGUAAACUUCUCACCUUGAAUAGGGGCUAUAUUUCUGAUUAGAAUUAUAUUCCCCUUUAUAAAAGAAUUCUGGAUGCUAGAUGUUGUGCAUGGAAAUAUGCAAAAGAUUUAAACUGUAUAUGUUUUAAAGUUGAAACAAAUUCUGUUGUGCUGAGAGUUUGCACGCAAAUUCAUUUGUAUCAUUUUGAAAUCCAAUUUAAUUAUGCUUUUAUAUUUCUGAUCAGAUCAAUUGUCUGGAAUUGGAGAAGUUACUACUGAGGGAAUUUCCAACAGGUGGAAAAGCUAAACUUUACUAUGAACAGACAAGAACAUUUUUAUUAUUUUAUCCAAGGGGUUCCUGAAAAAUGUUUGUCUUGGAAGAAGGCCUAAGAAGUGUGUACUCAAUAUUCUAUAUACUGAGAGAAUGUAAGCAAGUAUGCAAAACUAACUCUCCUUCACGAGAAAUUGAAGAGUGGACCGUGGGUAGUAGGUGAAAUGGGUGAAUAUCAGACAGCUCAUUAUAGAGACAAGAAUGCUGCAUUCCCAAAGUAGGAUGACAGAACAAGUCAUGCUACGUAUUGUAAUUUCAGUGCUACAAUACAUCUCCAAGCUGUCUGAGGAAAGAAGUGGUGAAGGAUGACUUUACUUCAUUUGCUCUCAACUAACUCAUCAUGGUCUACUCAUAUGACUAUACGUGAAAGAGAGAGAUGGGGGAGAAAGAGAGAUGGAUUCCUAUGGAGUAAUUCAGAAUAAGAAUCUCAACUGACUUGGCUCUCACCUUGAAGCAUAAUUUGUCAUCAAAGGAUAUUGUGACAGGAGACACUGCAGCUGUUUCAUUAAUAAGAUUUCUUAUGCCAUUCUCUGAUUAUGAAAAGGCUUUUUAUUGUUGAAAUCCUUGAUUUAUCUUUUUUUUUUUUUUUUUUUUUUUUUUUUAAUGCAUGUAUGAAUCCGGCUUAUACAUCUUGUACAAUACAAAUACGACUUUUGGGAGAUAGCAUUUUCUUUAUUAAUUCAUAGUUUUCUGCUGAUUAUUGAAUUGUGAAGGACAUUAUCUCCUUCCUUAUUUAUCACUAUUUCUCUUCUGGUAAACCAUACUCUAUACAUGUUCGUAUCCUUCAAGUUUAUUGAUGUUUUUCCUGGUUUUCUUGUAUUUGCUUCCUUCUGUUUAAUCUAUUAUACUCAAUUAACAUCAGUUUUCAUUUAGGCUAAUCAUUAUUUGUUCUGUUUUGUUUCGUUUUUAAUAAUAUAUUAUAAUGGUAUUAGUGACAUUACUCUGAAGUCCCUAGUCCUGCAAAGGUUAGGUUGUGUUUUUCAGUUUGCACACUGUCAACAGUCCCACUGGAGUUUAAGAGUUAGACACAUGGACAUAAAGCUUUGUGCACUAACUGCCUUUAGUUGAGCUCAUUUUUGGUACCAGAGAGCCCUAUUUUAAAGACUCCUGUUCAGAUCUGAAAAUGCAUUUGUCAUUGGAAACAGUUUUAAAAAUAUGACCUUAGCUGGGAACCUGGCAAAUAGAAAUUUAAUAUGGAGUAAAUUAAGCAUAUAUAUUUGAGGAUACAUCUUGACCAGCAUUAUUUUAUGACUAUCCGACAGUCUUUUAUACUUCUGAAACAUAGAAAUAGCUUUAUUUUUGUAUUAAUAUUUUUGUAGUCACAGUUCAUAGCACAAAGCAUGAAACAGUAAAAUCAAUGCAUGUGUUGAUUUUCCUCUUCUACUCACAGGAAAGCAGCUAGAGAAACAGGCAGUAAUUAGUUUUUAUCCAAACAGAGUAUGAAAUUUUGGUGUGUAGACUCAUUGUGUCUGUGUCACCCUGAAGAUUAAAGGCUUCUUAACUACAUAGUGACACAACAGACUGAGCAAGCUGUGAAGGAGCUGGUGUGGUUUGUUGUGUAAUCACUGAUCUGUGGAUCACUAGAACAGUCUGGAUUUCUGUGUCCAGUCUUGAUCAAUAGAAGCUAACCUCCUUGUAUCUGUUACAGUGGAUCACCAUAUAUCCUUAAGUUCACAGUGUAGCUGACGCAAUUUCUGUGGUGCUGGAAACGUUCAUUAGACACAUAGAAUACAAUAAAGUUAAUGCUUAAUCUUCUUUGCUUGGGCAACAUGUCACAGCUUAUUAAUUAAUUUGGUUGUUGUUUGUACGUUUUUUUCUACCACUAUGGAUACAAUCAAUGGAUUUCAGGUGUUCUACAGUCAGGAAGAAAGCUGUGCAUAAUGUAGUCUAAAGGUACAAUGGGAUUCUCCUUCCAGUUUUGCUAUUGGCACAAAAAGGAAAAUAUUCUAAUGAGUUUAUAAAUAGAGAGUGUAUGCACAGUGAACUUAUUCUUUUCCACUGGAGGAAUCCUAAACAUAGCCAAGAAAAUGUGAUAUGACCUCAGAUAAUAAUUUCACCUUUUCAGCUUGGGAUAGUUAAAAAUUUCCUCAGCUGCAGCAAACUGACAUCUUGGCUUUCCAUCACCUAGUAUCCAGGAUGACAGUCUUCAAUUACCCUUUAAAUUAUCCAUUCACUGUUACAGUUGCCUUCUGUUACUUUUUCCUUCUGGCAAACCUACAAUUUGCAUCUGAUUUAAAAUUAUUAAUUUUCGUUUCUAACCAAUCUGUGAGUUUCACUAGUUUUUGGGAGAUGAGUGGCUGGAGAGCAGCUCAGCAGAAAGGAACUUGGGGUGCUGAUCGACAAUAGGCUGAAUAUGAGCUAGUACUGCACUGUGGUAUUCCCUAAACACAGCUUAGCCAGUUAGUCAAUAGGUGAUUCUCCCACUAUAUUUAGUGUUGUUGCAGCCUUGCCUUGAAUAUUGUGUGCAUGUCUGGGCUCUGAAAUAUAAGAAGAAUGUUAAGGUCAUUGAAGGCAUCCAGAGGAGGACUGGAAGGCACGUGCUAUGGGAAGAUGCUGAGAGCCUAAUCUAGUCUGGAGAAAAGACUGAGAGGUGAUCUCACUGUUCUCAGCAGCUCUCUCAGAAUGGGUAGCAAAGGAAAAUGCCAGGCUCUGCUACCUAGGAACUGAUGGCAGGAUGCUUAAGAACAGCUGCAGAUCUGAAGCAGAGAAGGAUCAGGCUGGAUAUUAGGAAAAAUUUCUUUACAGUGUGGGUAGUCAAAUUCCAGAACAGGUUUCCCAGCAAGGUGGAUGAUGCCCCAUACCUGCAGAAAUGGGAGGUGUUUGACCAGCACCCUCAGUAACGCAUGCUAACUUUUGGUUAGCCAUGAAGAUGUCAGGCAGCAGGACUGGAUGAUCUUUGUAGGUCUUUUCCAACUCAACUUUUCUAUUCUAUCUAUUAUAUAUAUAUAUAUGUAUAUAUAUAGAGAGAGAGAGAGAGAAAGAGAGAGUAUAUAUAUACAGAGAGAAAGAGAGAGAGAGAGAGAGUUUGUUUAAAUAAAAUGAAAUCAGUUCAAAUUUAGUUCAGAUGGCAUUUAAAUGAGUUAGAUGGUGCACACAUCACUGAAGUUAUCUAGAUGGUUGGCUAUCUGGAGAUCUCAAAAUUCCUUCAGACUGGACAAAGGAAGUCAGCAUUGCACAAAUACCAUCAAUGAAAGUAUCAGAAAUGGGAGCUCGAUGGUUAAGCAGGCUUUGAAAAUUAUUUUGAGGAGUGAUUUGAGAGUGUUGACGGUUUAUGGUCUGAUCCGGCCUGGUUCUGUGACUAGUUGGAUGGAGGGAUUUUUUUUGCAAAGUCCGUGCCUCUGGAAAAGGGAAACAGGAGACCCCCCCCACAAAAAAAGAAUAAUUUAAAAAUAGCGGCAACAAUCUGAGGAGAAACAAACUGAUUUACUAAAUAUAGUAUCGGAAUGCACGAUAACACAUUAUAAUAAAAUAUAAUUCAAUAUAAUUGUUAAUAAAAUCAAAUAUAAUCGAGAGAAGGAUUGUCCAAGAGCUAAAGGCCUUACACUAAUACUGAAGCCUUGCGUGCAGUCAGGAGCAGCAGUGAGAUGAUCCGAAGAUGAGCAUGACGAGACAAGAAGAAGAUGAAGAAGCCCCAGGUCAGGUGACCUACAGGCCUUAUAUCUGUUCCCCUGAGCAGGAAUGAUAACAGUACUCGAACAGUCUUCUGGGGAAUGUAGUUCUUCUUCUCUUCCGGACGAGUACCCAGAACUAGAGCAUUUGCUCUUUAACUCCCAGUACACUGCAUGAAGUUAUGAUGUGGAAUACCGAUAACCAAAAAUCAUAAAACCAUGACAGAGAGAUACUCUGAUGGUUGUCGUGAUAGCAGAUCUUUUGUUUAUAUGAGUCUGUAAAUCUAUUUGUUUGUAUCCCUUAAAUCAAAAAGAUAAUAAGACAUACAUUUGGCCUAAAACUUGAACAUGGGGAGUUCCAUGCAAACAUGCAGAAGAACUUCAUUAAGGUAAGGGUGAUGAAGCACUGGAAUGCUUCAGAGAGGUUGUGGAGUCUUCUGUGAAGACGGACAACAGUUGUCUGGAUGCCUACCUGUGCAAUCUAUUGUAGGG